AGAAUCCUUAAUACAAUCUGCUUUAGGAGUCCAGCCAAUUGUCAAAAUUGAAUCUCCAGCUCCUUCCAGUCUUCUAGUUACUAACUUAUCAUCUAAACCAUCUCCAGUCAAGUCUAUAGUCACAAGUGAGGGACAACGGUCAAAAUCUGAAAAUUCUGAUGCCAACAUCAAACCAAUAACUAGUUCUGAUGUUACAUCAAAUUGUGCUGAACAUAAAACAGUUUCAACUU